CUGCUGACAACCAUUAGCGGACCGGAGUUCCGCUGUGGCUACCCCUAACCGGGAAAAAGCCGAAAGACAUCUAGACAUUGACAAUAUAGUUCCCGAGGGAAAAGAAGUCUAUAAUUUUUAUAUGUUAAGUUUAAUUCACCACGUUUACUACAAAAGUUACUGGUUUUAGGAGGGAUUAUGAAGGGGCAGAGCUAAAAUUUGAGCGAGAAUCAGAAACGUUCAUGAAAAUCAGCGAAAUUUGGGGGAGGUAUGGAUUCAUUCUGAAACUGAAAGCAAAAUGAGUUAUAAAACAGUGUUAUCAGCCGAGCUCGUCAUAUAACACUUGUAAAGCUUGCAGGACAGAGAUGGAAAAAACGAUGAAGGAAAUGGAGUCAAAAUUCAGAUGGUGGCUGCUUCAUGCAAGUGCUGCCACCACCUGUUACAUGGAAUAAGUUGCAUCGUUAGUCAACUACAGCAAGUCUCCUGCAUCCAGAUCAUUUUAUCAAAGAAAGAUUUUGCGUCAUUGUUGGUUCUUUGAUUUGGUUAAAGGGCUUUACGACUGUAUCUAUUGCACAAGCUCACUGUGUCUGCUCAUUACCACUCGGUCUGCUGCAACACAAAGAUGUGUUGCACUAGAAGAGCAUUAUGAAAAUAUCAUACAUUUACUGGAUUGUUGUAUUUUCAAUAACAAUCUACUGUGAUUCUUCUGCUUCAUUUCUCCAUGUUGACUGUCCAGAAAAUCUUACAGCUCAUGCAGGCCAAGACAUAAUAAUUAAUUGUACAAGUGAUUCAAACAUUGAAUUUACUUAUGUCAAGAAAUGUAACCACAGUUGUAUGUCUUGCGAAGAUGUGAUAAAUACCAUUGAAAAGGAAAAGCAGAACAAGUAUUUUCUGAUUUCUAAUAUGAAGACUGUAAACAUUGUGAUACAGAAUGCAAGUAUAACUGAUAAAGGAUGUUAUACAAUUCAAAUGCAUUCUCAUGGCCAAUAUGAAGAAAAAAAAAUCAAUAUUGACA